rnacentral:hammerhead_ribozyme from 1 species
AUUAGCUGAGGAGUUGUAAAUAGGACGAAACGUACGUCCUGGAU